CGGCGCCGUUGGAUCCAACGAGGAGGCAUCGGUCGCCGACGUUGAGGGUGAGGGAGAAGUCGUCAAUUAGAGGCUUGGCGUCGGGCGGAACACAGUCCCUUAGGGUUUUCCACGGUCACAAUCGAAUCCAACAGCUUCAAAGUGUUGAAAUCGUAGACGAAGAUCUUGUGGAGAACAACGAUGACGAUGCAGUCGCGGCGGAGCCUGAUCGACUUGACCUCGGACCGGAACAAGAGCUCGUUGACGCAGCGGGACUAGCGAUCGUUGUAGAUAUGACCUUGUUGGGCGGGCAGAACGGGUCAGGUCCGCCGCCGAAGACGGCGAAGUAGUGGCAGUGGAAGAGCAUCUGGACGAAUCCAACGCCGCCGCGUAGACCGGAGAGGUCGCUGUGGAAGCGGCAGAAGGGGUCGCAGGUGUAGACGCGGAAGCCGGAGUCAGUGGCGGCG
rnacentral:lncRNA from 1 species